AAUUGCACUUCACUAACUUCGCUGGCUGGUGCCUGCAGGGUCUACGCCCGAGGUCUUCGGCUGUGCAUCUCCUUGCCCUCUUGGGCUGGCGAUGUCUUAACUGACACUCCAACUUUGUAGCCGGUGGAGGAAAACAGUGGAAGAGAGAUGGGGGAUCUCGGAGCAGGCAGAGAGGUGCUCUGCCUGCAGAGAGAUGCAGAGAGAGAUGCUCAAAGAGGAAGAAGGUGCUCUUUGAGGAAGAAGGUGCUCAAAGAGGAAGAAGGCUCCAGACGCGCAGGCUCAGCGGCCAUAGCUCACGGGCCCAGCGGCUCC